ACACAGUGUAAGUAACUCUUUGAGAUUUGUGGAUGAGCAGGUGUGGUUUAAGGCUUGAAUUGUACCUCAGCUUUGUAUGCUUUGUGUACAUGACUGAGUUUGAGCCUUGUCUGAGGAAGCUAAGGAGCUCAUUUCACAUCAGUCUUGAAGCAAAGGGAUUCUCAGAACACGCAGAGCUAAUCACAGCAGGGUCAUAGGAGGCAGAUACGUUUGCAGGACUGAUGCAGAGCUCCAUUGCUCGAGGUGGAUCCUGAGGAAUAGUUGCUAUUUAUUGCAGCCCAAUGUAUUGGAAUUCAAAACCAAGGAGAUCGAUCAUCCUCGCAUCAGAUCUGAGUUCCCUUCCCAAGCCAUAAUGGAUGACGACGGUAGUAGAAGUAAUAUAUUCAGAGGGACCAAAACAGGAUAACAAUUUUUCAGAAGCUGAAGAAAUAUAUGAGGGAAGAAGAGAGAUUGAUACAGCAGCAUUGGAACCAGCUUUGUCCUUGGAUUGCAAGGGAAUGGAGAAAUGAGGUGUCUUCACAGAUCUUUCUUAUGUGACCAAGUGGCAGAAAAUGCUGCAGAAAUCUACUUCAGACAGUUAAGUAUUCAGGUUACUGAAAGCUGUGUUUACUAUUUUUAUAUCUAUGGUUGUGAGCUAAGUAUUUUUUUUUUUUUUUUUUUUUUUGCCUGUUCACAUCCUUGCUGCCUGCAGAGCUUCCCAGUUGCUAGGCUGUGUUUAAUAUAUUAUUUUCCCAUUGAGACACCUAUGCUCCCUGUCACAUCUCUGUUGUCUCUUUUCAGUACUGUAUGAGCCCCAUCUCUGGCUUCUCUAAAUGUUAAAGACCUCUCUUCCAGUUAUUUAUACAGUAUUUAAAAUACGUCCCUUAGUAAUCUUGACUUCAUCAGCCUGACCCCUCUGAACCACCAUUCGCCCUUGGUUCAUCAAAUCAGGUUCAGCCUUCUUGCCUUUAGCUUAGGACAUUUUAAUUCUUUUUUUCUGCAUAAUGUCUGUUUCUGUCUCCUAUAUUGAGAUUUAUUAAAAUUAUUUAGCCAUUUUAAGAUGAAACCGUAUGUCUAGUUGAGUGUUCAAAAUCAGUGACUACCUAAUUCCCCCUGAGACUAACACUCAUUCAUUCUCCUCAUUAACUUAGCAAGAGGACUUAGAGUCCAGCAUUGCAGAUUGUCUCCAGGCUUUCAUGCCUGAACUUCUCUUUCACUGUUGGGGGCAUAGAUCCUUCCUCUUCUGAGGACAAAGAAAUUUGGUGUCAUCCAGUCUGUGGAGAAAGUUUGCUGCAACUUGGAAUGCUGUUCUACCAAACAAUUCCUUUCUUCCAUCUGCGACACAAUUUUUUAGGGUUUUCCGAUUAAUCCAAAUACUGAAGAUAUUAUAAAGCCACAGAAACUGCUUUAGGCCAAAGAUGGCAAUUACAGCUAAGAGCUAGAGCUAACUGAAAGGCUUCCUAUUUUUUAACAUUUUUCUGUGGCUUUUAAGAUCUUUUUGUGUCACUCUGGAAUGAAAACCAAGUGCACAAAGACUUUUGGCAAAAAUGGGACUUUGCAAAAUGUUCAUCUUUGGCUCCAGAAACCGUUUUUCUUCUACUCUCAUCUUCUAGGAAGCCUAUUGUAGAGCUUAGAAAUAAUCCUGUCAGAACUUCAUCAAAGCCAGUAUUUGUUUUCAAAAUGUUCUAGUUUUGGCAUAAUAUUAGUUGGAGAAGAAAGUAUUUAAUCCAAAAUUUUCUGACUAGUUCCAUAAAUGUCAUUACAUUAAUUAGGUACAUAAGUAACAGUAGCUGAAUUAGCUAUGUUUACACAUGUCUAGUCAUCUGAAAGAAUAUGAAGUCAGACAGGACUCAAGGGUUGGCUCAGUAAGUGUCAUAAAUUUUAGUAACCCCUGAUCUUGAUGCUCAGUAGAACACAUCUGUGAACAAAACUAAUUGAAACAUCAAGAAAAAGUCAAAACAAAUGAAAAGCAUUAGCAAAAAAAAAAAAAACUUAUUAAUUUAGAGUAAUAUGUUAGGGUGAGUGGCAAAUUAAAUCGCUAUCCAAGUCCUGACACAGUUUUUUAUUUGAAACUAUAAUGUGAUUAUUGAUCAAAUGAAUUAAUUCUAUUUUGAUGGUAAUAUUAGCUUUUAAGUAACACAUAAACCUAAAAAUAGUUUAAUACAAGGCUUUCAGGGUCAUCAUCCUCCAAUAUUACUGUAAUCAGGAAUAGUUCCAAUGAAUAUAAUUAUGUUGUAUUCAUGAUACGAUAAAGGCUAUAUAAUUGAAAUCAAAUUUAGAGUUUUUUAAGGUUUUUAUUCAUUAUCUGAUUAGCCUACUACCUCAUAUGAAAGUAGUCAAGUCUUCUGAAUCUUACUCAUGCUGAGUGAAGACAUAUCUGGAUAUCGUGGAUAUUUCUGAGCCAGUUACUAUCGUACUCAUAUACAGUUUCUUCUGUAGUUUCUUUCUGGUUUUGUGUGUGUGCAUGUGCAUUUAUUUCAUAUGACUAAGAACCUCUAUCUAUCUGAAGAAUUGCAGGCUUUGGUUGCUAUUUCUCUACGGAAUGACUGGGAUGGUAUAUGAUGGUGCUUUGCAAAAGGAGCAGAAAUAAGUUAGCUUGAUGAAAUUUGUAGGAGAUGGCAGCAUCUGCUAACUCCAAACUCAGUCCUUGUGUUUGCUUUCGGUUCUUUUGAAACUAGUUUCUUGUGAUGUAUUUUAAAAUACAUAUUGUAGUACAGUUUUUCUCUAAAGCAUGCACUAUCAGAGAAUCACCUCUGAUGUAGAGUUGUCUUUUCAGACUUGCGGAACACAUUUCUUGUUUCUUAGAAUCUUUUAAAAUGUUGGUGUCUAGUACGACCCAAUGCACUGAAAUAUCUUGUAUAUAAUGCUAUUUUCUAAUGAACCGUGAUUCUCUGGUUCUGUCAAGAGUCGUGCUCAUAUUAGUAAAGGCUAAAGAGAGUACCAUUAUGUGUCUAGCAGAGAUAGUCCUUAACAGACUUGUCAAGUCUUAAGCAGUGUGCAUAAAAGAUGAAGCAUCUUGUUACAUCUGAUACCUCCAACUCAAGUGCUCCUAGGAAGUCACUGCCUUCCUCCCUUCUCCAGGACCAUGCAGGCCAGACAUGGCUUCUCACAUCACUCAUGGAGGGCUGGCUCCUUUGCUGCAGUCAUCUGCCAAACUCUUGUUACACUGAGAACCUCACAUCAGAUUAAAAGUUUCAUAGAGAUAUUCAGACAUCAGUCACUCACACCACAUCUCCUGCCCCCACAGCAAUACAACUGUAACCCCCCAAGAACUCUACAGAAUUUGACUUUGUAUAGAAAUUAAUAUUGAUUAGGUAGCACAACUGAAAAAACUUUCUAAAGUGUGCAGUAACAUAUAAAUUAGAAUUCUGUCCCUCCACCAUGUUCUGAACUAACCAUUUUCUGUUGAGAGUGAAGCCUGAAUGGAAUUAGCACUCACAACACUAUGCAGAGCAUAGUUUCAGAUUAAUUUAUAUGAUAUGAUGAUGAAAAUAAAGAAGACACCGACCAAAGUCUUCAGAAAUCCUAUGUUGAAAUAAGGAAAUACCUUUCCAUUUUAAUAAUUGUUGAUAUGGUCAGUGUCAGCUUUUUUAUACAGUAAAGGUAUGAAAGUCUGUGUUGUGUGAUUAGACAUUAAGCACAUUCAUUGAGGGACGAUUUCAUGGAGUCCCUGAUAUCAGUGGAGCAGUGGCAGCUGUUGGGCUUAACUUGGCCCAGGUUUAAGUACUUUUUUAAUUUGAAUAUGUUGGAGUCUAAAGUAGGAAUGAUCAUUCUUACUUUUCUUAUUCAUUCCAUUUUAUAGGGGCUUAAGAAACUAGGGGAAUCAGGCCCUUUGUGUAAUACAUAUCGUCUUACAUGAUUUCCAAUGAAGGAUAUUUUCAAGUAGGAGCUUAAGCUUAAAAAAAAAAAAAAAAAGAUUAACUUAAUUACUCUUGAGAUAUGGUAGAAUUCCAGUUGGCCACCUGAAUAAACAUACAAUUUUAUCAUUUUUUUCAGUGUUUCUGUGCUGCAGGAGUACAAAAGUACAGAUGCAUCUCAUGAGUAUAUAAUAAAGAGAAAAUAAGCUACCAUACCCUUUUCAAAAGAACUAAUCAAGUACUAAAAGGAAAAUUAAUGCAAAUAAAAUAUUGAUUAAGAACUAAAAGGAUUUUAAUUAUAUUACUUUCAGAAAUAAUUUAAUUUAACCCAAACAGACAACUAAGAGCAGAUAUUUCGCCUUAGCAUUUUUCAGAUUGCUAAUUAAAAUUUCUAGGAGGAAAUUCAAGUUUAGUGACUGGAUUUUAAAGAUAAAUAAUGCUUGCUUCUUUUCAUAAUAGUUUUAUAAAGGUUUACAUAGUGCCAAAAUAUAAUACUGCAUGCACAUUUUUUUUAAAAACAAUCAGAUAACCUGGAUGCUCCAUACAACCACUGGGGGUAUCGAGCACUCUUACAUUAAGAAAACUUGAAAAUUAAGUGUGUUAAGGUUAAAUAUCUGUCAUAUGUUUUUUAUGUAGAUUUAUAUCUACAUUGUUUAUGAAAUUCUUUGGAGAUAAUUGCUUUUUGGUAAGAUAAAGGCAAUUAUAGUGAUAGAGCACUCUUUGUGCUUCCAUUGCCACUGAGUAGCAAUUUUACUAUUUAUCUGAAAAGAGAUGUAUCUGAUUCUUUAUUCUCUGCCAUAAUGACUUGAUCCAAAAUCCAGUGAAGUAAAUGGAAAUUGCUCAUCACUCUAUAAUUUUGUAUAGCAUUUGGCUUUCAAUGCCACUGCCUACUUUACAUUGUAUUAUUUAUAAGACUGCUGAUCGCUUACAUAUACACCACGAAAUGGAAUGGGAAUGCAGUAAUACAGAGGCACAACAUUUGGAAGCUUUCUACAAAGAAUCUUUUACAACUACAAAUUCUUCACAGAGUAUUAAGGCAAACUGCUCAGAAUUUAAUUAAGCUCCUUUCAUCUUCUUUAGAUGCAGAGUGCUAAAUUAAAGAGAAAAAGAUGAUACUGAGCUACCUGUCCAAACACUUUAGGCAAAAAAAGGUAUAAUUAACAGUCCUUAACAUUAGAUUAGGGAGCAGUAUCAGAAAAUCCCCUUUAUGCCAAGACAGAGGGCUAGAACAUGCCAUGGGGACAUAACAAGAUUCAGAACCACUCUAAAGAAAAUUGUUACACAGAAGAAUCACGUGUCCCAUUAACCAGUGCUCCCUCUCUUGGGCCACUGUAUGUACACAUCAUAAAGCAUGUGACAUACAACUUCUAUGCAAUUUGAAACAUUUCCUAAAAAUUAUGCAAUGCAUGUCUGUGCUACUAGUCUCACUUUGUUAGUCUGCUCACUAGUCUCACUGGUCUCAAUUUUGAAAUUUUGAUUCAGUUAUAUCCAACUUUUCAACCAACUUGACAAGAGGAUUGAGGGGGUCUCAAAAUAUGAAAAUCAGAAGAGAUAGAAAAUCCCACAGAGCCCCUAAUAAUCUGCAGCACACUUUCGUGAGUUGCUAAGUAAUAGGUAAUCUAUAAAACGCAGCAAUGUUGCAACACCAGUCUAUGCAAAGCUUUGGUUUGGUCUCACUUCAUAACACUAGAAACUUGGAAGCACAUAUCUGAGGAAACCAGGCUUCACUACACUGUUGCUUAUGGAAGUAAUUCCUUUUAAGAGAUGAAUAGUAAUUUACACAUUAUUGGAUUAUCUAAUCAACAUAAAAAUGAUUUUACUUGAACACAGGGAAGCUUAGGAGUUUGUCCUCUCCAUAGGCUUUGUCAGAGAUGUAUUAUUGUGCUUGAUGGACUUGAACUGAUAGGGUUGCUUCUCUGUUCCUUUGGCUUAGUCAUGAACAAACAAAAACUAAUUUUGGCCACUCAGCAUUCUGUGAACCAUACAAUCCUCUGCACAUGAUACUUCUGCAAGAGUAAGCUUUAAAAACGAAACUCUUGUUCUCCGUAGGCACUAGAGAUGCAAAUUUGGUGGGACAGAAUCUGAAGGCUAUCUGUCUUCUCAGUUACCCUUUCUGCAACGUAAUAUUUCCUUUGCACUUUGAAGUGGUUGUAUUUAAGCUCAGUUGUGUACGUACAAAAUGAUCUCUGACGAUGAAAGGUAAUAUGAAACGAAAGAAAGACUUUGCAACAUGAAAGGCAUGAAAGAGGAAGAGAAGUAAAGGAGAUGCACUGUUGUUCACCAUUAAUCAUUUCAGCUGGCUACACCUACGUUAAAAAUGCAUGUGCAUGUAUUUACACAACACACAAACAUGCAACGAUGCAAACAGUACACUGCAUGUUUGUUAUGUACAUUGAGUGCAUGUGCGGCUACAACAGAAGUAAAUGAGAAUGAUGCUGAAACAUGAGGUGUAAGCUAAAGGGAACGUUUGAACGGCUGGAUGUUCAGCGAUGUAUGGAGCUGACAUUUGCAAAUCUAAGUUAUAUAUUCUGUUUUCAUUUCUCGACCCUGUCAGCUAAGCAAUCCUUCCACGAGACAGGAAGAAGGAAGAAGGGACAUAAUCCUGAGAGAGCCGAAUGAAUAUAUAUGUUUGCAAUUUCCCUUGAAAUCUGCACAGAAAAUAGGAGUCAACCAUAAAUUCAAAUAAAUCACUGCAAAGACUCACUGACAGAUCCAUGAUUCUUAACCGUUCACAUUUAUGAUCAAAAUCCAAAAGGAAGGUAACUUGGAAUCAGCAAGCAUUCAAACGUACAUCUACGAUAAAUUUACAACUAUACAGCAUUGAGAGCCAUGUCAUAAAUCUUCAGUGCUUUUAAAUGUCUUCCCACUCUGUUAAGGGUGUUGAAUUCAAUUUUAAGUUCUUA
rnacentral:lncRNA from 1 species